AAUCAACGCUGGCGGCGUGCCUAACACAUGCAAGUCGAACGCGAAAGUGGAGCAAUCCAUGAGUAGAGUGGCAAACGGGUGAGUAACGCGUGGGCGACCUACCUUCACGUGGGGGAUAAC
rnacentral:rRNA from 1 species